rnacentral:misc_RNA from 1 species
UCAAACUUGGUCAUUUAGAGGAAGUAAAAGUCGUAACAAGGUUUCCGUAGGUGAACCUGCGGAAGGAUCAUUAUUGAAUAAACUUGGUUAGAUUGUCUGCUGGCUUUGCAAAAGCAUGUGCACAUCUAAUCCAUUUAUAAUCCCCUGUGCAUCUUGUGUAGGCCUGUUAUAACAUUCGAGUUGGCAACAGCUCGGAAUAGAAAUUGCUGUGUUGUAUUAUAAUAUAAGCCAGCUUUUUCUUGUGAUUUCAGGUCUAUGUAUAUAUAAUAACACCCAUCAAACUGUCUCAAAAAUUUGCAUUUUAAAAUGCCCUAUAAUAUAUAUAUAUAACUUUCAACAACGGAUCUCUUGGCUCUCGCAUCGAUGAAGAACGCAGC